rnacentral:rRNA from 1 species
CUACGGGUGGCUCCAGUGGGGAAUUUUGCGCAAUGGGCGAAAGCCUGACGCAGCAAUACCGCGUGAGUGAAGAAGGCCUUUGGGUCGUAAAGCUCUUUUCUGGGGGAAGAUAGUGACGGUACCCCAGGAAUAAGCACCGGCUAACUCCGUGCCAGCAGCCGCGGUAAUACGGAGGGUGCAAGCGUUGUUCGGAUUUACUGGGCGUAAAGGGCACGUAGGCGGCACAGCAAGUUAAGGGUGAAAUCCCGGGGCUCAACUCCGGAGCUGCUCUUAAAACUGCUGAGCUAGAGAUGGUCAGAGGCGGGUAGAAUUCCUGGUGUAGAGGUGAAAUUCGUAGAUAUCAGGAGGAAUACCGGUGGCGAAGGCGGCCCGCUGGGGCCAUUCUGACGCUAAGGUGCGAAAGCGUGGGGAGCGAACGGGAUUAGAUACCCUCGUAGUC